rnacentral:lncRNA from 1 species
UUUUUUUUUUAUUGUAGUUUUGUUUUCAUUUUUCCCCCUUUUCAGUAAGCUGUCUAGUAAAAGCCGUAACCCACAGUGUAUAACGUAAAACUAGGUGGGUGGUCAAGGCUCUCUGGGAUCCUAUUAUGUGGUAUUGUGGCUCCAAGAUCCAACUGUUUUUACGUUUUCUCAAUCUAUCAUUUGCUUUUUUGUCCUUUAUUAUUUCAGUUGUUCUGUAAACUUUGGAGGAAUACAAAGAGUUCAUAGGAAUGACCAUCUCUGGUCAUUUUAUAGAUAUAUGCUAAUGUUAAGGAGCAUAUAUAAAUAUCUACAUAUAUGUGUGAAAUGUUUGAUGGGACAACUAUUCCAUAGCAAAAGUACUGAAUUAGAGACAGAUCAUCUACUGAAUUAUGCUAUGUGUGUAAUAUUUGUGAAAAUUUUGUCUUACGUACAUAUCCAACAUUAACCAAUGCUGAUGGUUAAAAAUUACAAUAUCUAUCUUUAUGACAAAAUAAAGAUAUAUGCCUUACACAAGUCUAUCUGAGCAGAUGAUGGAAGCCUGGUUCUCUAAUUGUGGAAGGAAUGGUGACCUUGUUUCUAUGCACAAAUCACCUGGAAUGUUAAAUUCCCUAAAGUAUAAACAAACUUUAAGAAUUAUUUGUUAAUUAAAUUGAUGUUUCCAUCUGUAGAUCGAGAUAUUGUUGUUAAUUCUUCAGGAAUGAUAGAUACGUAUCGAUAAAUGUCAUACACUUGAACAUCCAGCAAUCUAACAUAGAGAAAAGCACAUAAGAUCAGAGAUAUACUUACUUAUUUUUCUAAAACUUUUGUUCUUCCUCUUUGAUGUAUCUUUUAUUUGCUGUACUUAAAUUAUGUCAAUAAGGUGAAUCAAUUAAAUCAAAUUUUUUCCCCAGGCUAGAUAUGUGGAAAAGCAAACUGACCAUUCUGUAAAGAUGAUUUUCUGAUACUUUGUGGUAACAACUGCUAAUUUUGUUUAUAAAAACCACAGGAACAUGAUUCUUAAAAUAUGAAUUAGAAUAUUAGAAUGAAUAGAUCAUGCAAAGAAUGAUGCCUGGUUAUUCCAAUACUCUAUCAAACCUACUAACAUAUUCGAUUAUGGGGUACCAUUUGCUGAUGUUUUGGAAACUCAAAAGUUCUUAAGCGUCCAGGCUACAUUAUGGAUGUAGAUUUGUGUGCCACGGAAAUAACUGAAUUCUUUUUGUCUUUUUUUGUCUUCAGUGCUACAACCCUAUUUCAUGUCAUUAUUACCUUUUUUCUUGGUGACUGUAUCAUCUUCCUAACCCUUUCUUUGGUCCAGGUUUCUCAUCUCCAAUCUACCUCUAUCAUAUCAUUGUAGACUAAUAUUUCUAAAUCCCACCUCUAAUAAUAAAUAGGGUAAUUCAAAAGUCCAUCAAAUUAAAUAUGAAUUCUUCAGUAUGACAUUUGUGGGUUCCUCUACUAAACUUUCUGCUUAUGCAAAUUCAAAUCCUCUACUGGAAACAUGGACUCAAAGUAAAUCGAGUUCAUUAAUCCAGAUACACAGUCUAUGCUUUUGUUUCUUAAUGACUUUGCCUAGGCUAUGCACACUACAUGGAUGCUCAGGUCAAAAACCUAACUCCACCUUAAGUGCUAUCUUAAAUAGCAUGUAUUUCUGCCAGGUUUGGCUCUAGUGAAAAUAAUCUAUCUGCCCUCUCAGUACCCUCUGUGGGAUUCUUUACAAGCUGUUACUUGUAUUCUAGUCAUGGAUAUCAUAGUUGCCUAUGUCUUGGGGCUUUUAUGUCUUCACUCAAUAUAAGGGGUUUAUCAGCAUUUAUCUGAUUAAAUUUGUUAACAUGGUGGCCUAAGCCACCAUGUUUCAAAUUUAGCCACACAUUGAAAUCACUAAGGGAAUGUACAAAAAUAUUGAGACCUGAGUCCCACUGGUAGAGAUACUGAAUUUGCUUGGCAAGUAGUCUGUUCAUUGAAAUUAAAAAAAAAAAAAUCUCAAGGUCACUCUUAUAUGCAGCAAAUUUGAGGACCAAAGGCUCUGCUAACUCUGGGAUUACCCAAAAUGUCGUUUGGAAUGUGUAUAUUGACAGUCUCCUAUGGCUAUUUGGUUGAUAGAUUUAUGCCCAUCUUAACUCUGUGAGCAGAUGAACUCUUCAAUUAGAUCCAAAAUGUGGCUUCCCCAGACCAAUUCCAACCUUAUCUUUAACUCUAAACAAUAUUAUUAGGAAAUGCUUAUUUCAGGUUUAAAAGUUAAAAUAUAUUAAUCCUACUUGCUAAUUUUUUGGGAGCACCAAUCAUUAUUAUAAUCAAGAUACUAAUUAUAAAAAAAGAAAAGGUUAGUAUAUAAAUUGAUCAGUUUAAAAUUAUGUACACAUAUUACACUUUACUAUCAUCUCCAAAGUAGAAGUGAAUCUUAAGCUUAUGACUUAAAAAUAGUUUUAAGCAUUGUGACAAAGCAUUGUCUUAAAUUUUGCUUUUAGAAAAGGGCAGAUGAGAGGAGAAAAAUCUAUGCAGUUCUUCUCAUCACAUAGAAUUUGCAUUUGUACAACUCUGUACAGGCAUUUUCUUAAGCCUGAUUUAGGAUGAAAAGAUGAUAUACUGUACCAGGGGGACAUAGUACAUGUUUACAGUAUUUUCUUUCUUAAAAUAAUCUAUAAAAUAAUAAAGGCAGGGAUAACAAUAUCUACCCUAUAAGGCAGCUGUUUGGUGAAUAAAACUAAUAAUUUUGACAGAGAUUUUUAGUUUGAGUGUAUUAGUUUGAGUUGUUUUUCUAGAAGGUUUGGAUUCUCUCUGAUCCCUGUCCCUCUCUCAUUCUUGCACAUUGAAGGACAUCAGGUGUUUCUGAGGUGAGCAGGUGGCCACAGGCAUCUUUGACAGAAUAUGGAUGUUCCACUAUCAGGAGAAUCAAACUCAUGCCCUAAACUGGCUCUUGCAAACACUAUAUUCUAAGCAAUAAAGAUUAGAAAUGUAGAUGCUGAAUUUUCUGAUCCUUGACUUUAACAGGCAAAACAGAGAAGGGGGCUGUGGUGUUCAUACUGUGUGAACCUUUCACUGCACUCAAACCCAAGAAUAUAUCUCAAGACAAGCUUUCUAUUCAUGAACCCAUUUCCA